rnacentral:rRNA from 1 species
AGGCAUCGAUGGAUAGGGGUUCUGAGAGGAAGGUCCCCCACAUUGGAACUGAGACACGGUCCAAACUCCUACGGGAGGCAGCAGUGAGGAAUAUUGGUCAAUGGGCGCUAGCCUGAACCAGCCAAGUAGCGUGAAGGAUGACUGCCCUAUGGGUUGUAAACUUCUUUUAUAUGGGAAUAAAGUGCAGUAUGUAUACUGCUUUGCAUGUACCUUAUGAAUAAGGAUCGGCUAACUCCGUGCCAGCAGCCGCGGUAAUACGGAGGAUCCGAGCGUUAUCCGGAUUUAUUGGGUUUAAAGGGAGCGUAGGCGGGUUGUUAAGUCAGUUGUGAAAGUUUGCGGCUCAACCGUAAAAUUGCAGUUGAUACUGGCAUCCUUGAGUACAGUAGAGGUAGGCGGAAUUCGUGGUGUAGCGGUGAAAUGCUUAGAUAUCACGAAGAACUCCGAUUGCGAAGGCAGCCUGCUGGACUGUAACUGACGCUGAUGCUCGAAAGUGUGGGUAUCAAACAGGAUUAGAUACCCUGGUAGUCCACACAGUAAACGAUGAAUACUCGCUGUUUGCGAUAUACAGUAA